rnacentral:rRNA from 1 species
AAUGAACGUUGGCGGCGUGGAUUAGGCAUGCAAGUCGCACGCCCCGCAAGGGGAGUGGCGCAAGGGUGAGUAAGGCGACGGUAACCAACCCCCCGGACGGGCAUAGCCGCGGGAAACCGCGGGUAAUUCCCGGCGAAGUCAGCCGUCGGCAUCGACGGCUGACCAAAGUUCCGGCGCCGGGGGACGGGCCGUCGUGGUAUUAGCUAGUUGGCGGGGUGACGGCCCACCAAGGCGGCGAUGCCUACCGGGCGUGCGAGCGUGGCCCGGCACACUGGGACUGAGACACUGCCCAGACUCCUACGGGAGGCUGCAGUCGAGAAUCUUCGGCAAUGGGCGCAAGCCUGACCGAGCGACGCCGCGUGGAGGACGAAGGCCUUCGGGUUGUAAACUCCUGUCGAGGGGGAGGAAGCCGCAAGGUUGACCGAUCCCUGGAGGAAGCACGGGCUAAGUUCGUGCCAGCAGCCGCAGU